GGACAAAAAUAAAAAGUUAUAAGACUUUUAAAUAUGUGGAUUUUAGGGUUAUCUUUGGCGCCCCCUAGAACCUAAACCUUGGGGUGCAGCGUCAUGAUUUUGAUAACUUUUAAUGGCCACGGGGUGUAGAUUGGCCUGAGCAAAUGUGGUGCCGGUGGAACGAAAGCCUUCGGAGGAGUUAGCGAAAUUCCAAUGUGUGCGGAUCGGCAAAAAAUGCGUAAUAACCCUUUAACCGUACAUUUGACAGAUACGCCCGCACCGACUUUUUUGUAGAUCUUAUUGAGAUACAUGUGUGUGUCAAUUUUUGUGUCAUUUUGACAAAGCGUACAGUCGUGACAGUGAAUAGUGUGAAUUUUCACCUUAGGGGGCGCUAUGGAGCCAUUUUGCAUUUUAUUGUUUUGGCGACUUCAGAAUAUCAAAUUUUUCACCAGGCCCGGUCGUCCUGCCAAAUUUCAUGAGUUUUCGCCAGUGGGAAGGGGGCCAUUUUCCAGUUCAAAGGGGAGGAAAAAGAAAAAAGAAAGAAAGAAACAAAGAAAAACCACUUGGGGAAUAAUAGGGCCUACGCCCGGCUGCUCUGCAGCUGGCUCGGGCCCUAAUAAUAACAAAAGAAGGAAACAUGCAGGAACAAGAGGGCUCUCGCAGCUGCUUAGCAGCUACGCUCGGGCCCUAACUAGGGCCCCGUUGGGGCACUGGCGGGCCCGAGCCGUGUCGCGCUGCCCCCCCCAACGCGCUGCCUCCCCGUCCCAUUCGCGUCCUCUGGCCAUCGUCCUCUCUGGUAACGCCCAUCACUGCAAAGACCCUUUCCUUCAUCGGCGUUUGCUGUUCUUCCUGCCAGUGCGUGUUGCUUUCACUUACACUUGCCACAGCCAGCCUCGUGAGUGCCUAGCCUAUUGGAUAUCACUGUCAUCUACACAGGACAGUCAUAACCUUUCUAUUAAUACUUUGUUUUUUAAUUUCACAUUAAUUUCCAUAUUGUAUAAAUGACUGGAAAAAACUUGAGCCCCUGCCCCUGUAUAAUCAUGUGCACGUCCCUGUUCUAGCUCCAAGGUGAAUCUUCACUGCUCAUGUUCUCCUCAGAAAUAGUCACCUCACUCCCCUCAGGUUACUGUACACAUGCACCAACUAUCUGCUUCAGGUUUGGAUGGAGCUUCAUGGUUGUCUUUUGGAGAAAUGACCAGUCAAGUUGUGUUUGAAAUUUGAUUUUUUUCAGGGGCAAAAGGAAGCCUCUGCAUUCUUGUCAAAUAUGUAAACAGCAUGUUUUUGCAGGUGCUAAAAAACAGACUCUGAGUGUGUGUGUGUGUGUGUGUGUGUGUGUGUGUGUGUGUGUGUGUGCGUGUGUGUACAUGUGUGUGUAUCCUGCAGUACUCUGUACUCCUGCAGUGGCCAAAAAGACUUUUAAGAAUGUGGAUUUUUGGGUCAUCUUUGGCGCCCCCUAGAACUGCAGUACUCUGUACUCCUGCAGUGGCCAAAAUGACUUUUAAGAAUGUGGAUUUUUGGGUCAUCUUUGGCGCCCCCUAGAACGUAAACCGUGGGGUGCAGCGUCAUGAUUUUUACAACUUUGAAUGGGCAUGGGGUGUAGAUUGCCCUGAGCAAAUUUGGUAUCAGUGGGACGAAAGCCUUAGGAGGAGAUAGCCACAUUCCAAUGUGUGCGAAUCGGCAAAAAAUGCGAAAUAGCCCUUUAACCGUACAUUAUACAGAUACGCGCUCUUUGACUUUUUCGUAGAUCUAAUUGAGAUACACAUGAUUGUCAAUUUUUGUGUCAAUAUGACAAAGCGUUCAGGCGUGACACUCAACAAUGUGUAUUUUCAUGUAAGGGGACAAGAAAAAAUUGACUUUUUUCUCCUGCCAUGGGGGGGCGCUCUUUUGGGGAGUAAAAAUUCCUUCACAAAUGUGUUGAUGGCUGGACAUUGCAUCAUCCUAGAAAACUUGGAGGGCAGUGAGGACAAAAAUAAAAAGUUAUAAGACUUUUAAGAAUGUGGAUUUUUGGGUUAUCUUUGGCGCCCCCUAGAACCUAAACCGUGGGGUGCAGCGUCAUGAUUUGUACAACUUUUAAUGGCCAUGGGGUGUAGACUGGCCUGAGCAAAUGUGGUGCCGGUGGAACGAAAGCCUUCGGAGGAGUUAGCGAAAUUCCAAUGUGUGCGGAUCGGCAAAAAAUGCGAAAUAACCCUUUAACCGUACAUUUGACAGAUACGCCCGCACUGACUUUUUUGUAGAUCUUAUUGAGAUACAUAUGUGUGUCAAUUUUUGUGUCAAUAUGACAAAACGUACAGACGUGACAGUCAACAAUGUGUAUUUUCACCUUAGGGGACAAGAAAAAAUGGACUUUUUUCUCCUGCCAUGGGGGGGCGCUCUUUUGGGGAGUAAAAAUUCCUUCACAAAUGUGUUACUGGCUGGACAUUGCAUCAUCCUAGAAAACUUGGAGGCCAGUGAGGACAAAAAUAAAAAGUUAUAAGACUUUUAAAUAUGUGGAUUUUAGUGUUAUCUUUGGCGCCCCCUAGAACCUAAACCUUGGGGUGCAGCGUCAUGAUUUUGAUAACUUUUAAUGGCCACGGGGUGUAGAUUGGCCUGAGCAAAUGUGGUGCCGGUGGAACGAAAGCCUUCGGAGGAGUUAGCGAAAUUCCAAUGUGUGCGGAUCGGCAAAAAAUGCGUAAUAACCCUUUAACCGUAAUUUUGACAGAUACGGCCGCACUGACUUUUUUGUACAUCUUAUUGAGAUACAUAUGUGUGUCAAUUUUUGUGUCAAUAUGACAAAGCGUACAGGCGUGACAGUCAAUAGUGUGAAUUUCCACCUUAGGGGGCGCUAUGUAGCCAUUUUGCAUUUUAUUGUUUGGGCGACUUCAGAAUAUCGAAUUUUUCACCAGGCCCGGUCGUCCUGCCAAAUCUCAUGAGUUUUCGCCAGUGGGAAGUGGGCCAUUUUCCAGUUCAAAGGGGAGGAAAAAGAAGAAAGAAAGAAAGAAAGAAACAAAGAAAAACCACUUGGGGAAUAAUAGGGCUCUCGCAGCUGCUUAGCAGCUACGCUCGGGCCCUAAGAAAGAAAGAAAGAAAGAAAGAAACAAAGAAAAACCACUUGGGGAAUAAUAGGGCUCUCGCAGCUGCUUAGCAGCUACGCUCGGGCCCUAAAGAAACAAAGAAAAACCACUUGGGGAAUAAUAGGGCUCUCGCAGCUGCUUAGCAGCUACGCUCGGGCCCUAAUAAUAAUAACACUAGGGCCCCGGUGGGGCACUGUCGGGCCCGAGCCGCGUCGCGCCGCCCCUAGUGCGACCGCCUCCCCCUCCCGAUCGCGUCACACUCAAGGUCCAAAGAUGGUGUGCGCACUUGUCUGUGGUCAUUUCCCAUUAUAAUGAAUGGGAGGCGCAGUUUCUACCAAAACACUCGCUGCAGACAAACUUCAUGUCCUAUUUGAAAAAAGUCUGGACCAUGAGUGAGGGCACAAACACAGCUAUGAUAUAUCGAAAUGGCAGGUUGCUCCUCCUUACGGUGUUGCCUGGAGAGCGAUGCGAUUGAGCCAUUGAGCAAUGGGCAGGGUUAACUUGACUUUUUCUCCUGCCUUGGGGGGGGAUGUGGAUUCCUUUAAGAAUGUGGAUUUUUGGGUCAUCUUUGGCGCCCCCUAGAACGUAAACCGUGGAGUGCAGCGUCAUGAUUUUUACAACUUUGAAUGGCCAUGGGGUGUAGAUUGGCCUGAGCAAAUUUGGUGUCAGUGGGACGAAAGCCUUAGGAGGAGUUAGCCACAUUCCAAUGUGUGCGAAUCGGCAAAAAAUGCAAAAUAGCCCUUUAACCGUACAUUUGACAGAUACGCGCGCAUUGACUUUUUUGUAGAUCUUAUUGAGAUACAUAUGUGUGUCAAUUUUUGUGUCAAUAUGAUAAAGCGUACAGGCGUGACAGUCAAUAGUGUGAAUUACCACCUUAGGGGACAAGAAAAAAUUGGACUUUUUUCUCCUGCCAUGGGGGGGCGCUCUUUUGGGGAGUAAAAAUUCCUUCACAAAUGUGUUGAUGGCUGGACAUUGCAUCAUCCUAGAAAACUUGGAGGCCAGUGAGGACAAAAAUAAAAAGUUAUAAGACUUUUAAAUAUGUGGAUUUUAGUGUUAUCUUUGGCGCCCCCUAGAACCUAAACCGUGGGGUGCAGCGUCAUGAUUUGAAUAACUUUUAAUGGCCAUGGGGUGUAGAUUGGCCUGAGCAAAUGUGGUGCCGGUGGAACGAAAGCCUUAGGAGGAGUUAGCGAAAUUCCAAUGUGUGCGGAUCGGCAAAAAAUGCGGAAUAACCCUUUAACCGUACAUUUGACAGAUACGCACGCAUUGACUUUUUCGUAGAUCUUAUUGAGAUACAUGUGUGUGUCAAUUUUUGUGUCAUUUUGCCAAAGCGUACACGCGUGACAGUCAAUAGUGUGAAUUUUCACCUUAGGGGGCGCUAUGGAGCCAUUUUGCAUUUUCUUGUUUGGGCGACUUCGGAAUAUCAAAUUUUUCACCAGGCCCGGUCGUCCUGCCAAAUUUCAUGAGUUUUCGCCAGUGGGAAGUGGGCCAUUUUCCAGUUCAAAGGGGAGGAAAAAUAAUAACUAGGACCCCGUUGGGGCACUGGCGGGCCCGAGCUGUGCCGCGUCCCCCCCCCAACGCGCUGCCUCCCCGUCCCAUUUGUGUCCUCUGGCCAUCGCCCUCUCUGGUAACGCCCAUCACUGCAAAGACCCUUUUCCUUCAUCGGCGUUUGCUGUUCUUCCUGCCAGUGCGUGUUGCUUUCACUUACACUUGCCACAGCCAGCCUCGUGAGUGCCUAGCCUAUUGGAUAUCACUGUCACCUACACAGGACAGUCAUUACCUUUCUAUUAAUACUUUGUUUUUUAAUUUCACAUUAAUUUCCAUAUUGUAUAAACAACUGGAAAAAACUUGAGCCCCUGCCCCUGUAUAAUCAUGUGCACGUCUCUGUUCUAGCUCUAAGGUGAAUCUUCACUGCUCAUGUUCUCCUCAGAAGCAGUCACCUCACUCCCCUCAGGUUACUGUGCACAUGCACCAACUGCCUGCUUCAGGUUUGGAUGGAGCUUCAUGGUUGUCUUUUGGAGAAAUGACCAGUCAAGUUGUGUUUGAAAUUUGAUUUUUUUCAGGGGCAAAAGGAGCCUCUGCAUUCUUGUCAAAUAUGUAAAUAGCAUGUUUUUGCAGGUGCUAAAAACCAGACUCUGAGUGUGUGUGUGUGUGUGUGUGCGUGUGUGUGUGUGUCUGUGUGUGCGUUCAAGUCACAUGACAUAUUUAACCGGAUGUAGCUGCAAGACGGAGCCUCGUUGACUCUCCGUUUCAACUUAUCUCAAAAGUGAGGACCUCAACCUAUAUACCAGUUUUUAAAUUGUGUUGAUAGGCCAAAUAAAACCAGAGUUAUGAUAAAUUAUGUCCGCGAUACUUGUUUUCUGCUUAUUUUGAUCACGUUCGGCGCUCGAUCGCGCUGUAUGAGACAGGAAAACAUAGCAUGCAGACAUUAGCGACAGGUCUUACAGGCGGAAAAGGCUUGCCAAAGGAAAAAAAAAAACACACCACAACAUCUCUCCUAUUGGUGGAAAACUUCACCACAACAACCAAUCCAAAAUUAUAUGGUGACUGAUUGACAAGGGGCGGGCGCUUACGUUCUUCCUGCAAUAUGAGAAGGGAGGGAGGGACUCUCAGCAGGGAUGCAGUCUGGGACACGUAGUUGCAAACCUAGCGACUUUGUUGUUAGAUUCAAUGACUUUUCAGACCCCCUAACGACUUUUUUUUUAGAAAGAAAGGGACUUUUAUCGACUUCUUCUGGAGUUUUGAGACUCUGACAUGAAGCAGGCUUUCCUUACUGAGGAGUUAGCAACGCUGCUAAGGGUGCAGAGCCACACAUGCGCUCCGAGCUCUGCAUGGGAGACUGAAGCUGACAGAGCUGCAGCAGUUAGCAGGUUUCACCCUCAGAGACCACCAGGGGUUCAUGUUGAGGCAUUUUCAGUUUUUUUUUUUUUUUUGCCAUAGACACUGUCAGCACAAUCUGCAGUUACACUAACAAAAAUGCUGCAAAAAACAAAGAAUUAUGGAAAAAUUACACAUGGACUAACAUAGAGGAGGAUCUACACAAGUUUUUUACAUCAUGUUUUACAUCAUGCAUCAUUUACAUCAUGUUUUUUUUGUAGUGGCAUAAAUAAAAAGUGACAUUUGUGAGACUAUACAGUGUUUUGUAAAUAAUUUUACAAAGAACACCUGAGCCAUUGCCUGCAUUUUGAUGUAAAUAGAGGUAAAUUACUAUGUUCUUUGUUAAAAAUUUGCAUAUGUUCUGAAGUUUACAAUUUUUAUUUGAAGUUUAAGUUUUAAAAACAGUUCAUCACACAUAUUUGUGGUUUUCACAGUAAAAACGUUACUUUUUUCCACUCGGAUUUUAUGUUUUGUGUGUGAAUUUGGGUCCAAUGUGUAAAUAUAGUAUGUCAAAAUGAUAAAAUAACUGUAAAUUGACACAGGUGAGGUUGUGCUGAAAAAAAUGAUACCAGGCAAGGCAAGGUAAAAAUUUUGUAAGAGGAAAUAUAAAGGUAAAAUCUAAAGUAGUCAAAAACGGCCAAUAGUGACUCACAGACUCCAUAGACAAGUCCCUUUGGCGCCACUCAGUGGGCAAAACUACUUUGUCUACUGUAAUGUAUAUUUGGGUCAUCUUUGGCGCCCCCUAAAACGUAAACCGUGGGGUGCAGCGUCAUGAUUUUUACAACUUUGAAUGGCCAUGGAGUGUAGAUUGGCCUGAGCAAAUUUGGUGUCAGUGGGACGAAAGCCUUAGGAGGAGUUAGCGAAAUUCCAAUGUGUGCGAAUCGGCAAAAAAUGCAAAAUAGCCCUUUUACCGUACAUUAUACAGAUACGCGCUCUUUGACUUUUUCGUAGAUCUAAUUGAGAUACACAUGAUUGUCAAUUUUUGUGUCAUUUUGCCAAAGCGUACAGGCGUGACAGUCAACAAUGUGUAUUUUCACCUUAGGGGACAAGAAAAAAUGGACUUUUUUCUCCUGCCAUGGGGGGGCGCUCUUUUAGGAAGUAAAAAUUCCUUCACAAAUGUGUUGAUGGCUGGACAUUGCAUCAUCCUAGAAAACUUGGAGGCCAGUGAGGACAAAAAUAAAAAGUUAUAAGACUUUUAAAAAUGUGGAUUUUUGGGUUAUCUUUGGCGCCCCCUAGAACGUAAACCGUAGGGUGCAGCGUCAUGAUUUGAAUAACUUUUAAUGGCCAUGGGGUGUAAUUUGGCCUGAGCAAAUGUGGUGCCGGUGGAACGAAAGCCUUCGGAGGAGUUAGCGAAAUUCCAAUGUGUGCGAAUCGGCAAAAAAUGCGGAAUAACCCUUUAACCGUACAUUAGACAGAUACGCGCGCAUGGACUUUUUUGUAGAUCUUAUUGAGAUACAUGUGUGUGUCAAUUUUUGUGUCAUUUUGACAAAGCGUACAGGCGUGACACUCAACAAUGUGUAUUUUCACCUUAGGGGACAAGAAAAAAUGGACUUUUUUCUCCUGCCAUGGGGGGGCGCUCUUUUGGGGAGUAAAAAUUCCUUCACAAAUGUGUUGAUGGCUGGACAUUGCAUCAUCCUAGAAAACUUGGAGGCCAGUGAGGGCAAAAAUAAAAAGUUAUAAGACUUUUAAAAAUGUGGAUUUUAGGGUUAUCUUUGGCGCCCCCUAGAACCUAAACCGUGGGGUGCAGCGUCAUGAUUUGAAUAACUUUUAAUGGCCAUGGGGUGUAGAUUGGCCUGAGCAAAUGUGGUGCCGGUGGAACGAAAGCCUUCGGAGGAGUUAGCGAAAUUCCAAUGUGUGCGGAUCGGCAAAAAAUGCGAAAUAACCCUUUAACCGUACAUUUGACAGAUACGCCCGCACUGACUUUUUUGUAGAUCUUAUUGAGAUACAUGUGUGUGUCAAUUUUUGUGUCAUUUUGACAAAGCGUACAGGCGUGACAGUCAAUAGUGUGAAUUUUCACCUUAGGGGGCGCUAUGGAGCCAUUUUGCAUUUUCUUGUUUGGGCGACUUCGGAAUAUCGAAUUUUUCACCAGGCCCGGUCGUCCUGCCAAAUUUCCUGAGUUUUCGCCAGUGGGAAGUGGGCCAUUUUCCAGUUCAAAGGGGAGGAAAAAGAAGAAAGAAAGAAAGAAAGAAACAAAGAAAAACCCCUUGGGGAAUAAUAGGGCUCUCGCAGCUGCUUAGCAGCUACGCUCGGGCCCUAACUAGGGCCCCGGUGGGGCACUGUCGGGCCCGAGCCGCAUCGCACCACCCCCAGCGCGACCGCCUCCACCUCCCGAUCGCGUCACACUCAAGGUCCAAAGAUGGUGUGCGCACUUGUCUGUGGUCAUUUCCCAUUAUAAUGAAUGGGAAGCGCAGUUUCUACCAAAACACUCGCUGCAGACAAACUACAUGUCCUAUUUGAAAAAAGUCUGGACCAUGAGUGAGGGCACAAACAUAGCUAGGAUAUAUCCAAACGGCAAGUUGCUCCUCGUUACGGUGUUGCCAGGAGAGCGAUGCGAUUGAGCCAUUGAGUGAUGGGCAGGAAAAACUUGACUGUUUCUCCUGCCAUGGGGGGUGGGGGAUGGGGGGGGAUGUGGAUUCUUUUAAGAAAGUGGAUAUUUGGGUCAUCUUUGGCGCCCCCUAGAACGUAAACCGUGGGGUGCAGCGUCAUGAUUUUUACAACUUUGAAUGGCCAUGGGGUGUAGAUUGGCCUGAGAAAAUUUGGUGUCAGUGGGACGAAAGCCUUAGGAGGAGUUUGCGACAUUCCAAUGUGUGCGAAUCGGCAAAAAAUGCAAAAUAGCCCUUUAACCGUACAUUUGACAGAUACGCGCGCAUUGACUUUUUCGUAGAUCUUAUUGAGAUACACGUGAUUGUCAAAUUUUGUGUCAAUAUGACAAAGCGUACAGGCGUGACACUCAACAAUGUAAAUUUUCACCUUAGGGGACAAGAAAAAAUGGACUUUUUUCUCCUGCCAUGGGGGGGCGCUCUUUUGGGGAGUAAAAAUUCCUUCACAAAUGUGUUGAUGGCUGGACAUUGCAUUAUCCUAGAGAACUUGGAGGCCAGUGAGGACAAAAAUAAAAAGUUAUAAGACUUUUAAAUAUGUGGAUUUUAUGGUUAUCUUUGGCGCCCCCUAGAACCUAAACCGUGGGGUGCAGCGUCAUGAUUUGUACAACUUUUAAUGGCCAUGGGGUGUAGAUUGGCCUGAGCAAAUGUGGUGCCGGUGGAACGAAAGCCUUCGGAGGAGUUAGCGAAAUUCCAAUGUGUGCGGAUCGGCAAAAAAUGCGCAAUAAUCCUUUAACCGUACAUUUGACAGAUACGCCCGCACUGACUUUUUUGUAGAUCUUAUUGAGAUACAUGUGUGUGUCAAUUUUUGUGUCAUUUUGACAAAGCGUACAGGCGUGACAGUCAAUAGUGUGAAUUUCCACCUUAGGGGGCGCUAUGGAGCCAUUUUGCAUUUUAUUGUUUGGGCGACUUCAGAAUAUCGAAUUUUUCACCAGGCCCGGUCGUCCUGCCAAAUUUCAUGAGUUUUCGCCAGUGGGAAGUGGGCCAUUUUCCAGUUUAAAGCGGAGGAAAAAUAAUAACUAGGGCCCCGUUGGGGCACUGGCGGGCCCGAGCCGUGUCACGCCGCCCCCAGCGCGACCGCCUCCCCCACCCGAUCGCGUCACACUCAAGGUCCAAAGAUGGUGUGCGCACUUGUUUGUGGUCAUUUACCAUUAUAAUGAACGGGAGGCGCAGUUUCUACCAAAGCGCUCGCUGCAGAAAAACUCCAUGUCCUAUUUGAAAAAAGUCUGGACCAUGAGUGAGGGCACAAACACAGCUAAGAUAUAUCCAAAUGGCAAGUUGCUCCUCCUUUCGCUUUUGCCGAGAGAGCAGUGCGUUUGAGCCAUUGAAUGAUGAACAGGAAAAACUUGACUUUAUUCUCCUGCCAUGGGGGGCGCUCUUUUAACGAGAAAAAACUCCUUCACAAAUGUGUUGAUGGCUGGACAUUGCAUCAUCCUAGAAAACAUGGAGGCCAGUGAGGACAAAAAUAAAAAGUUAUAAGACUUUUAAAUAUGUGGAUUUUAGGGUUAUCUUUGGCGCCCCCUAGAACCUAAACCGUGGGGUGCAGCGUCAUGAUUUGAAUAACUUUUAAUGGCCAUGGGGUGUAGAUUGGCCUGAGCAAAUGUGGUGCCGGUGGAACAAAAGCCUUCGGAGGAGUUAGCGAAAUUCCAA